rnacentral:rRNA from 1 species
CCUACGGGGGGCUGCAGUGAGGAAUAUUGGUCAAUGGGCGGGAGCCUGAACCAGCCAAGUCGCGUGAGGGAAGACGGUCCUAUGGAUUGUAAACCUCUGUAGGCGGGGAGCAAGGCCGGGCACGCGUGCCCGGAGGGAGAGUACCCGCAGAAGAAGAAGCGGCUAACUCCGUGCCAGCAGCCGCGGUAAUACGGAGGAUGCGAGAGUUCUCCGGAUUUAGUGGGUUAAAAGGGGGCGUAGGCGGAUUUUGAAGUCAGGGGUAACAUGUGCGGGCUCAACCCGGGCCGGCCGUUGAAACUGGGGAUCUUGAGUGGGCGAGAAGUAUGCGGACUGCGUGUUGUAGCGGUGCAAUGCA